UUAGUUUUAUGUUAUUUUCAAUAUAUUUACUGGUAAUAAAUUUACGUAUAUUAAUUAUUAAACAUAA
rnacentral:tRNA from 1 species